CCCUUAGAUGUUCUGGGCCGCACGCGUGCUACACUGAGUGGAUCAGCGGGUCAGGUUGCGCGAAAGUGUUUCCUAAUCUUGAAAUCCGCUCGUGAUGGGGAUUGACGGUUGCAAUUUUCCGUCAUGAACGAGGAAUACCUUGUAAGCGCGGGUCAUCAUCCCGCGCUGAAUACGUCCCUGCCCUUUGUACACACCGCCCGUCGCACCUACCGAUUGAAUGACUCGGUGAAAAAUUGGGACUGUGAUUGAAAUUGCUUCAUUGCGAAUUUAAUUAUGGAAACUUUCUUUAACCUAGGCAUUUAGAGGAAGGUGAAGUCGUAACA
rnacentral:rRNA from 1 species